UGAGGCCGCAGCUGGAGUACUGCAUCCAGUUUUGGGCUCCACAAUUCAAAAAGGAUGUGGAGAAGCUUGAGAGAGUCCAGAGAAGAGCCACGCGCAUGAUCAGAGGUCAGGGAAGCAGACCCUACGAUGACAGGCUGAGAGCCCUGGGGCUCUUUAGCCUGGAAAAGCGCAGGCUCAGGGGUGAUCUGAUGGCCACCUACAAGUUUAUCAGAGGUGACCACCAGUAUCUGGGGGAACGUUUGUUCACCAGAGCGCCCCAAGGGAUGACGAGGACGAAUGGUCACAAACUACUACAAGAUCGUUUCAGGCUGGACACAAGGAAGAAUUUCUUUACUGUCCGAGCCCCCAAUGUCUGGAACAGCCUGCCACCGGAGGUUGUUCAAGCACCUUCAUUGAACACCUUCAAGAUGAAACUGGAUGCUUAUCUUGCUGGGAUCCUAUGACCCCAGCUGACGUCCUGCCCUUUGGGCGGGGGGCUGGACUCGAUGAUCUUCCAAGGUCCCUUCCAGCCCUAAUGUCUAUGAAAUCUAUGAAAUAAAGCAGAUAUGUGCAUAGAUAAUGAAGAUAUACAUACACAUAACUCAGAGAUGUGCAUAGAUAAUGCAGAUAUAGAAUCACAGAAUCAUAGCGAAUGAGGUUUGGAAGGGACUUCAGGAGGUCAUCUAGUCCAAACCCCUGCUCAAAGCAGGACCAGCCCCAACUAUCUCAUCUCAGCUAAGGCUUUGUGUAGCAGGGUCUUAAAAACCUCCAAAAAUGGAGAUUGUACAACCUCUCUGGGUAGCCUGUUCCAAUGCUUUACUACCCUCCUUGUGAGAGUGUUUUUCCUAAUGUCUAACCUAAACUUCCCUCGCUCUAAUUGGGGAGUCUUGCUCCUUGUUUUGUUAUAUAUAUGCAGAUAUAUGUAUAUAUAACACGGCUGCAUAUAUUAUGUAAAUAUGUGUGCAUACAACACAGAUGUGCAUGGAUUAUGCAGAUAUGUGCAUAUGUAAUGUGAGAUGUGCACUGGUAAUGCGGCCAGCCUGUACCUUUAUAAUACAGGUAUAUGCAGAUAUAAUACAGACGUGCAUUUCUAAUACAGAUAUAUGCAUAUCUAAUACAGAGAUGUAUGUAGAUACUAUGGAUAUGUGCAUAUAUAAUGCAGAGAUGUACAUAGAUAAUGCAUAUAUAUGCAUAUAUAGCAGAGAUUCCCUGGAUAUAAUCAUUCCCUGCCCUCACACUCCCUGCUCCCUCCUAGAUUUGCUUACCUCUGACAUCAAGCAUGACAUCAUGUGCGCCAAGCGGGUGGUGCAGGACCCUAUGGGCAUGGAGUCAUGGGAAGAGUGGAAGACCCACUGCGAGGGGAAGGAAGUGGGAGAAUGGAUCAAGGGCUGCGGCCUGUGAGCCCCAGUAGUCCAUCCAUCCGUCCAUCCUCCUCAUGUCUGUCUGUCAGGCGAGUGUUCAGCCCUUUCCAAAAUGUAUAAAUCCCUUGGGGUCAAACCCUGCCUGUGUCUCUGUUUGCCCCCUGGUUCAGCUAGCUCCCUGUGCUGUUAUACUGUGCCUUUCCCCAGAGCUGGUUGCAUCCCAGCACCAGCAAACCCUACCCAUGUGGCAUUACAAGCAGCCACUCCCCAGCCACCCCACCCCACCCCAGAGCUGGCUGCAUCAAGUCAGUUCUUUAUCUAGCCAGCUCCAUCCCAUCUGCCUCACCCUAGAGAUGGCUGCAUCCCAGGAGUGAGUGAGCCCUCCCCAUGUGACAUUAUACACAGCUGCCCCACCCAAGAACUGACUGCAUCCCAGGACCAGGGGAGCCCUCAUUGUACAGUGUUAUAGGCACAGAUGCCUCACCCCAGAGCUGGCUGCUUCUCAGCACCAACAAAUCCUACCCACAUGGCAUUAUAAGCAGCAGUUCCCCAGCUGUGUUACCUCAGAGCUGGCUUCAUCAAGUCAGCUGACUCUAGUCAGCUGCAGCUGCAUCCCAGCUACCUCAGUCCACAGCAGAACAGUAUUAUAGGCAGCUGCUCUCCGGUGGCCUCGCCCCAGAGCUGACUGUAUCUUGGCACCAGCACACCUAACCCAUGUGGUGUUAUAAGCAACCAUUCCCCAUGUGUUCCACCCCAGAGCUGCCUGCAUCAAGACAGUUCUGCAGCAUUCUAGUCAGCUGCAUCCCAGCUGCUUCACCCCAGAGCUGGCUGCAUCUCAGGACCAGAUGAGCCCUCUCCUACAGCAUUAUAGGCAGCUGCUCCCCAGCUGCUCCACCCCAGAGCUGGCUGCACCUUGGUAUCGGCCAACUCUAUUCAUGUGGCAUUAUAAGCAGCUGUUCCCCAGCUGCCUUGCCCCAGAGCUGUCUACAUGUAGGCUUAGUGCAUGCCCUCUCUUGUGCAGCAUUAUAGGAUGCCCUCCUUCCUUCAUCCCCUUCUCUCCCUUCCACCUGCCUGGUGCCCCUUGAUGCUCAUAGGCCUGCGUGCAGCUCUGGGCAUCACACUUUGUGCCUGUCCUCUGCUCCCACCUCUGGCUUCAGUCUGGGCCUAAUCCUUGGGGCAGGGUACAGGCAAAGACCCCUGAUUCCUCAGGCUGGAUCUCAUGGCUCCAAGGGUCAUAGCUUGCCAACCCAAGGCCUACAGCACAGUGAAAAGAAAUACUGUAUUUCCUCACAUACCACAUGGCUCUGAAUAGGACCUGUCCCUUGUUUCUGGGAAGGCAGAAUGAAGAGAGAUUUUUUCCAGUGUUAUAGCUGUAUAAAGAGGCUUGUCUUCUGCUCAUUCCCUCUCCAUUUCCUGGUCAAGCAAAACCUAAGGGCCUUGCUAUAUAUUCAAAUUAAAGUUGGCUAGAAACCAGCUGUAGAGUCACUAUACAUUUUCAAGCACUAACUUUAUAGCUGGAUAGCCAUUUUUAUGGCCAUUUUUAUGACACGUGUGGCUGGGGGUUUUUUUUGCACAUGUGGCUGGUCUUAUUUGGCAUAUGCAGCCAGUUUAAAUUUAGCACAUGAUUCACCAGUGAAUUGUGUGAUAUAUGUAACGUGUAGCAGGGGCCUAAUGUUUUUAGCCCUUUCCUAAUUGAUUUGGGUGCUUUCGCCUGGACAGGAAAAGGAGGGGGGGAAAUGAGCUGAAGAUGAGGGAAUAGGAAGGGAGAGAAGGAAAAGCAGCAGGAGCCAUUUUGCAGUAUCUCUAUGCUUCUAUUCUGGGCAGAAAAAUCAGCUUCCUUACUCAAGACAUACACUUGCCAAUUUUGAAGAGCUGGUUUUGGACAAAAAUGUACAUGUGGUAUAGAAGGAAAUGGAUGGUUGUGUGUGUGUGUGUGUGUGUGUGUGUGUGUGUGUGUGUGGGGCUGAAUAAAAUCUCUUCACAGGAUGGAUCUGACAUGCAGGCCUCCUACCCAUUUAUCUUUUUCCUGGAAAUUGUGUCUCUGGGUAAAACGGAGAAAGAAAAACUCACUCUGUGGUGCCACCAUCAUCUAAAGCAAGGAUUUUCAACCAGUUUAGACCCAGGUCUCUCCUUGUUAGAGUCCUGGUCCCUCUUGGAAAGUGCCACUCUUGGCCUCCACUUAUUUUUUUGACCAUAGAAAAAAAUCCUAGAGUGAUUCGUCUGAGACAAAGACUUCAGGAAGCUCUGAGCAGGGUAGAAGGCUUUGGAUGCUCUGGAUUCCUCUUGGAAAUCCCCAGGUUCCUCAUGAAUCAUAUGUAGGUGUUUGCACUUGGGUUGGGUAUUUGACUGGUCAAAUAAAGUUUGGUCAAUUGACUGGUCAAAUAGUUUCAUAGUUGGUAGGGUUGGAAGGGACCUGAGCAGAUCAUCAAGUCCGACCUCCUGCCAUGGCAGGAAAAAAGUACUGGGGUCAAACGACCCCAGCAAGGUGUUCGUCUAACCUCCUCUUAAAGACCCCCAGGGUAGGAGCCAGCGCCACUUCUCUUGGAAGUUGGUUCCAGAUCCUAGCCGCCCUGACAGUGAAGUAGCGCCUUCUGAUGUCUAGCCUGAAUCUACCCUCUGCCAGCUUGUAACCAUUAUUUCUAGUCACUCCUGGUAGCUCUCAGGGGAGCAGGGACUCCCCCAAUGCCUGCUGGUCCCACCUGACUAGUUUCUAACAGGCCACUAGAUCCCCCUCAGCUUUCUCUUGUGGAGGCUGAACAGGUUCAGGUCCCGUAGCCUCUCCUCAUAGGGCCUGCCCUGCUGCCCCCUGACCAUGCGAGUGGCCCUCCUCUGGACCCGCUCCAAGUUGUCCACGUCCCUCCUGAAGUGCAGCACCCAGAACUAGAUGCAGUACUCCAACUGCGGCCUGACCAGUGUCGCAUAGAGGGGGAGGACCUCUUUGGACCUGCUCGAGAUGCAUCUGUGGAUGCAUGACAAGGUGUGGUUGGCCUUCUUGAAUGCAUCCCCACACUGCCAGCCCAUGUUCAUUUUGGCAUCAAUAAUGACACCAAGAUCCUUUUCUGCCUCUGCAUUGAUGAGAAAUAUUGGUCCAAAAUUGUAAAAAAUUUCCAAUAGGUCCAAAUAAUGCGGAAAAAGUAAAAAUUUUCUAUUGAGAAAUGUCUAAAAAAAAAUAGAAAGUCACAUUUCUGUCAAGAAAACUACAAAAAUAAAUAUAUUUGUUUUGUAAAAUUGCUAUAAUCUUUGACUGGUCAAAAAUGCAGUCAACUGUCAGUCAUUGACAAUAUGUGACUGGUCAGUUGAUUGGCUUGCCAACCCUCGUUUGCACACUGAACAAUGCAAGUAUAAUAUUUUAUUGCAUACAACAUGCACCCAGUCCCCCCAGAUCAGCCCUCUACAGUUGGCAUUGUGUAUGUUACAUGAAGAAGCAGAUUUACCACCUAGGAUAGCAACCCCUUGUUUUCAUUCCCGCUCCACAGCGCAGCAGCUGUGUCUACAUGGUGCAGGCAAAAAAGAGAUAUAUGGCUGUGCAGAUCAGAAGCUGCAUUGUUCUGCUGGCUCUUGGUUUCCAGCUUCUUCAGGUUGGAUCUCAGUCUCAGCUUUUUUCUCAUUUACCACUUCUGACACGAUGCUGCGAGCACUAUGAAAACAGGCAUGAAUGAGAAGCAAAACUGUUGCUCUAAGGCAUGUAGAGUAUGUUCUCAGGUGGUAUCUAGUUGCUGCUACUUAUAAUACACAGGCCACUGGGGGUUAUGUAUUUGGAAAGGUCAAUACUAGCAAGAAAUCUUCCAGAUUUCAGAGGCCUUGAAAAAAAACCCAGCUCAGAUCCAUGAAAGCUCAAAAAGGUUUAUUAUCCCCAGACAGUCCACCAGCUGGUCUAAUGAAUAGCCAGUUCAACUUGGAGCAACUUGUCCGCAACAGGUAGAGCUGUCAUACAGGAUUCAUGCUCCCCUAAGUCUCUACAAGGGGUAGGUCUCCCAACCCCUGUAUUCAUGUGCCCCCCUUCUUGUGCUAAUUCUCCCUCUCUGUCGAGACAUUUGUCUCUACUUGUUCUGUUGGCAAAGUUUAUGCAUCUGCACUUCGGGUCUUGUGAUCUUUGUCUUAUUAGCAAGUCCAAAUCCUCUGCACUCACCACCAGCUGGGUGCUGUUGCUGGCCAAGGCCAAGCCCAGGUGGGGGAUCUCAGUGCCAUCUGCAAGCAUAGGGGAGGGCUCAGCACUGAGUGGGCCCAUCAUACCACCUGCCACCCCAGGUCUCCCCUCCCCCAAUUCACCAGGCAAAGGGAUGGGCUGGCAGUAACUGAUGCAGGUACCAUGCUGGUACAGCUGCCCCGUAGUGAUGUGAUCCCCCGGGGGCCCCACCACAAGCCUGAAGGGACAGUCAUGAAUUAAAACCACUAGCCACAGAACCCAGGCAUUCCGGCCGCCGGUACCCCCCUCCGUCACUCCCAGCCAACUCCCACCACUCUAAUCCAUCAGACCCACUCCUUUCCCAGAUAACCCAGGUUUCUCAGCCCUGCCUGCUCUCACCCAUUGGACCCCACUCCCCACCCAGAAACCCCAGGAAUCCAGGCACCCUACUCUGUUGUCUCUGCCAUGGUGCGGGGAGGCAUCCAUACCCAUCACUUCCAAACUACAGGACCUGGUGCCCUAAACUGAGGCCAGCAUCUGGGCCAAGAUAGCUUGGUGGGCUGUGUCCAUGCUAUACCCCAGAGUAGGGGCUGGGCCUGGGGGAGGGAAGCACAGAGUGGGGCUGGGUUAGAUCAGCCUGACUAGAGGCCUGAUCGCUUCCACCUCCCCCCACCCACUCUGCCAUGGUUUCUCACCCCCAGCAGUCAAGUGCCCUGCCCCACUUUGCACCUCCCCCCACACUUUUCCCAUGGAGUCUCUUCCUGUGAAGCUGGGGUUGGGGCCAGAAGGCAGAGUCCGUCCCCCCUCUCCCUGCCAUCCUACCGCCCUGUCAGUCAAGUCCCAAGAGGACCCCUAUGCCCUGUCUUCACCAUGGAAACCCUCAGCAGAACCUGGCUGGGCAAGGGGCCAUGUAUACCUAGCUCCACAAACUCCACCCCAGAGGUAGCUGCAGUUGUUACACCCACAUCCCAACAAACCCCACCACUAUUGCUAGGGCUAGAAAUACCAGGCCCCAACAGUUACUAAGAGCUGUGGAUUCCAGGUCCUAAUCAUAGCAAAGCUCUGAGGUGCCAGGCCCAGACUAUUGCUAAGGCCCAAGGUGUCAGACCUCAACCACUGCUAAAAGCAGAGGGCUCCAGGCUUCAGAUUCCAGGCCCCAACUCUUGCCAUGGCCCAAAGUCUCAAUUGUUGCUUAGGCCUGAGUGACCAGGCCCAGAUCAUUGUUAAGCCCCAAAGGGCCAGGCCCUGGCUGUUGCUUAGGCCUGAGGCACCAGGCUGAGACCAUCACUGAGGCCCAAGGUGCCAGGUCCCCACUGUCGUUAAGGCUGAAGGUGCCAGGCGACAACCAUUGUUAAAGUCUGAGGUGCCAGGCCCCAAUCCUUCUAAAGGCCUGAAGGCUCCAGACCUGGAGGCUAAGGCCCAAGGUGCCAGGCCUGGAUGGCUGCUGAUGCCCAAGGUGCCAGGACACCACUGUCACUAAAGCUUGAGGUGCCAGGCCUUGCAAAGGCCUGAAGGCUCCAGGCCCACACCAUUUGCCCUAUGACCAGUGGGGUCCCCCAAGGCUCUGUCCUUGGACCCAUACUGUUCAACAUCUUCAUUAAUGAUGUGGACAUUGGAGUCAGAAGCAGACUGGCCAAGUUUGCCGAUGACACCAAACUCUGGGGUAAAGCAUCCACACCUGAGGACAGGAGGGCAAUCCAGGCUGACCUUAACAGGCUCAGCAAAUGGGCGGACGAGAACCUGAUGGUGUUUAACACCAAAAAAUGCAAGGUUCUCCACCCUGGGAGGAAAAACCUGCAGCAUCCUUAUAGGCUCAGCAGUGCCAAGCUGGCUAGCACUAUGGAUGAAAGGGACUUGGGGAUCAUCAUUGACCACAAGAUGAACAUGAGCUUUCAGUACGAUGCUGCACCUAGUAAAGCGAGCAAAACGCUGGCUUACAUCCAUAGAUGCUUCUCAAGCAAAUCCCGGGACGUCAUUCUCCCAUUGUACUCAGCCUUGGUGAGGCCGCAGCUGGAAUACGGCAUCCAGUUUUGGGCCACACAAUUCAAAAAGGAUGUGGAGAAGCUUGAGAGAGUGCAGAGGAGAGCCACGCACAUGAUCAGAGGUCAUGAAAACAGACCUUAUGACAACAGGCUGAGAGCUAUGGGGCUCUUUAGCCUAGAAGAGCGCAGGCUCAGGGGUGAUCUGAUGGCCACCUAUAAGUUUAUCAGGGUGAUCACUAGUACCUGGGGGAACGUUUGUUCACCAGAGCGCCCCGAGGGAUGACGAGGUCGAACAGUUAUAAAUUACUGCAAGACCGUUUCGGGCUGGACAUAAGGAAGAAUUUCUUUACUGUCCGAGCCCCCAAGGUCUGGAAUAGCCUGCCAUCGGAGGUGGUUCAAGCACCUACAUUGAACACCUUCAAGAAAAAAUUGGAUGCUUAUCUUGCUGGGAUCCUAUGACCCCAGCUGACUUCCUGCCUUCGGCCAGGGGGCUGGACUCAAUGAUCUUCCAAGGUCCCUUCCAGCCCUAAUGUCUAUGAAAUCUAUGAAAUCUAUGAAAUUUCUAAGGUCUGAGGCUGUAGACUGAGACCACUGCUAAGGCCUGAGAGUAGGGUGACCACCCAUACCUAAUUGGGCAGGACAGUCCCAGAAUAGGAACCCCAAGUCCUGAUCCCGGGCUGCAUGACUGGGACUCUGUUCUAGAUUUGCAGUUUUGUACAGGGAUCUGGGUUUCCCCUUGCAGGCUGGCCUCAUUCCAGCCUGCAAGGGGCUGCUUGGGGCUGUUGGGAGUGGGACACAGGCAGUGCCACGUGCAUGUGUAGACCCAUGCACAUGCAUGUGCCUGGGAAUACAUCCAGGCAGUGUGGAGAGCAGCUCCCUGCAGAUAAAUCUAUGGGAAGGGGGCGCAGCAUGGAGCGGGUGGGGGCAGGGGUGCUGGGGGAGGGGACGGAUCAAGGCCCUCACAGUGAGGAAGGGAGUAGGGCAGGGACUGGGAGGUGCAUGGGGGUGCAUGGGACCUAGGGUCAGAGCUGAGGCAGGGCACAGGAUGGAGCCACGAGCAACUUGUCCAGGGAGCGCAGGAGAGGGGCAUGAGGGGGCACAUCCACCCCUGCCCCAUGCACAAAUCAGGGCCACCCACACCCCAUGAAUCCCCAAUUUGUGCAUGGGGCAGGGGUGGAUUUGGGCUACCCGCUGUGGGCUCACAGCUCCCUGCCCUGCUGCCUUUCUCUUGGGAGCCCUGCAUCAGCAGCACAGCCCCUGCCCACACAGCAGCAGCAGCGACGACAGCGGUAUGCAGUUGUACCCUCCACUGCUGCUGGGCGGGCAGGGACCGUGCAGCCCGAGCGGGGCUCCCAAGGGAAAGACAGCUGGGCAGGGAGGCCCAAGCCUGCAGCAGGCAGCCCGCAUCCACCCCCACCCCUGCCCUGGUCUGCUUUGGCCAUGCUAAUGGCAGGGGCAGGGGGAACAGGCAGGCAUGUGUCUUGCCUUUCCAUUUUGAAAAGGUUGUCACCCUACCUGAGAGUUCUAGACCCAGGCUGUCACUAAGGGCCAAAGUGCUAGGGUAAAAACAUCACUAAGGCCUAAGGCGCCAGGCCCAACCUUUAUCAAGGACUAAGGGUCCAAGCCCCAACUAUCGUUAAGACCUGAGGCACCAGGCCCAGAUUGUCACUAAGGCCUGAGGUGCCAAUCCCAGACUCACUAAUCAUCAGCCCCAGACUGCUGGUAAGGCCUGAAGUGUUAGGCCCAGACUGUGCUGAGGACCGAGACACCAGGCACAGACCACUGCAAAGGACCAAGAGCACCAGGCCAAGACUGUUGGUAGGUCUCAGAUGCCAAGUCCAGACCUUUACCAAGAACUGAAGGACCAGGCCACGACUGUUGCUAAGGCCUGACCAUAGCUAUGGCCUGCAGCACCAGUUCAUGACUACUGCUGAGCACCAAGAGCUCCAGGUUCAGUGUGUUGCAAAGGCCCAAGGUGCUAAGCCCCCACUGUUGCUGAGGCCCGAAGUGCCAGGCCCAGGUUCUAGCUGAGGCCUGAGGCACCAGGCUCAGACUAUCUCUAAGGCCCAAGAUGCCAUGCCCUGACCAUUGUUAAGGGCAGAGUGCUUGAGGCCCAGACCAGUGCCAAGGUUUGAGGUGCCAGGCCAGACCAUUGCUAAGGCACCAGUCCCAGACUGUCACUAAGGACCAAGGAGCCAGGCACAGACCACUGCUAAGGCCUGAGGUGUCAGGCCCCAAAUACUGCUAAGGACCAAGUACUCCGGGCUCCAACCUUUACCAAGGCCUGAGGUAUCAGGCCCCAGUGGUUGCUAAGGACCGAGGCACAAGGCUCAGACCACUGCAAAGGCCUGAGGUGCCAGGCCCAGACUGCUACCAUGGCUUGAAGUGCCAGAUCCAGACCAUCUCCGAAACCUGACAGUGCCUGACCUCAAUCACUGCUAGGGGCUGAGGCACCAGUCCCAGAAUGGCUCUUAGUGACAGUCUGGGUUUUUGACACUCAGGUUCUAACAAUGUGCUCAGCUUGGCCCCUGGAGCUUUCAGGCUCAGAAGUUGAUGCCUCCUGGGAAGUAGCCCAGCUCUUUAGGAUCAUCCUGCAGCAGUGGGCAGGUGGGGACUCUUGGGUUCACUCCGAGGCUGCAAAGACAGUUCUUCCCAAGUCAGGAUGUCUAAGAACACUUGGGGCCUUGAACUGGGGUGAGGCGAGGACACCUGGUACAGGGGGUAACACCACCCUUUGGAAUCCUUGGGGUUCAGAGUGCUGCCAGGCCCCAGGGGCACAUGGGUCCCUGCCCCUACUCCAAUUCUCUGAUUGAUGUCUCUCACCCCAGUAGUCCUGUUUCUCCCCAGAAGUUACAGGAGGCCCCUGUGUCUAAGUGGGCUGGAACGCCCCAGACAGGUGCUGUAGGCCAAGGGUGAGCCUUAGGGUUUGGUGGUGCUUGAGCCUUUUAUUCAAAUCAGAGGGGCUGGCUGAAUGAUCAGCCACCUGGACAAUGCCCCACUAAUGAGGCUGAGCCACUGAGUUUCCCCAAAGAGGAGGUGGGCAUUGCUUUCCUUGGGCAGGCAAUGCUGGUCACAACAUAGGCAGAGACCCUGGGGGCAAAGAUGAGCCUUUUGGUGGGGGGAGGGGAGUAGGGGGAGUCUUUUCCUGGUCAUAUCUACUUGCAUUGCUGCCAACCCAGGGCAGUGUUGUCUUUUCCAGGGCCCUGGCUGGCCCCAGGGACUGAGAUCUGGCCUAACACUCCUGUGGUUGCUCAGAUGGAUGUCAGUGCAGAUACUCAGAUCAACCAGUCCGUCCAAAGUAGCCAGGAGCUCCACCUGUGGCUAACUUGUCUUUAAUGUGGCCCUAGUGGAAGUGGAAGUGUUGACAGCCUCAUUCCAUUCAAUGUCGGUGACUGGCUGUCUACACUCGGGGCAUAACUCGAUCCUGGGUGGUGCCCCUGCUUGAGGGUCCUUAGAGCUCACUUCAUGGUACAGAGCUGCCAUGGGUGUCCAAAAAUCUUGACCAUGGCUUCAAUAAAGUCUUCAAGUUGCCAAAGAGGGGGUCUGUUGACUCCAGAAGUGCGAAAGCCACCAGUCAAAAGGCUGAUGGACAAGGGAAUGGGGCCUCCUUAACCCACCCUGUCUCUUGUUUCCUAGCAGGUUGAGACUGAAGGGCUCUAGUGGAGCGGGGACCAGGAGAUGCAGGUACAUACAAGGUGGGGGAGGGAGCUGGUGGUUCCCUUUGUGGGGCACAGGAUAGGACACAACCCCAGGGCCUGUCCCUGCCUAUUUGUGAGUCUGACUUGGGGGGAAGGGGGUUUUUGCUCUGACCUUUGAAAUGCUACUUGAGUCUUGGCAGAAUCAGGUCCCUCCCUGCAUCUGACUAGGUUUUGUGGGCUUUCCUUUACACUAAGAAGAGCAGCAUUGCUGUGGCAGGAAUUUUCCUUUGGGUGUCUGGCAAACUGGACUCUUAUGAAGUGGAAUUGGAGAAGCAAAGUUAUGAGUUGAUGGAGGUAGAAGAGCAGAGCGACAAGCCCAUGGGCUAUGAGGAGCAGCGGUAUGAGCAGGGAUCAGGUGGUGGAGAGGCAGGAGCACAAGGAUGAGGCAGCACAGCUGCAGAUAGGUAAGGAAGCAGGAAGCAGAUCAGCUAUCAAUGUACUGCUGUUCAAAGCUGAACGUGCUCAGCUGCUACAGCAACUGAACAACUAAUUCAUCAUGGCUGGUUUCUGAGCUUGUUUGUUGUCUCUAGGCAUAAAGCUGAAAGAAACACGGGGCUGAGCCAUCAACUGUAGGCAACUGGUAGGGGGAGUACAGGGGGGUGCCCCCCCCAACACGCCUGUCCCCCACUGCCGACACCGCCAGCAGCUUCUGUGGGUGCUUACUAGCCCCAUCUCCACUGCCGCCACCUCUGGCGGUUUCUGCGGGUGCUCACCAGCCCUGUCCCUGCCACCAAUGCUGCCGGCAGCUUCUGCGGGUGUCCCUGCAGACUCAGGAGGCACCAAUCACCCAUGCCAUCAAUGGAAGCUCACCAAAAGGUUGCACUAGUACAAGCCACAGAAAGCCAAGGAGCAGGUUGGGAAAGGGAUCAGUGGUGCUCAGGGAGGGUGCAGGGCUAAUUUGUGGCACUCUAACUCCCUACUGGAUUACAACAACCCCCUCUCUAAUUUAAACAUGGACAUUACAGGAGGCCCAAGGAGGGAGGCUUCCCUUUCUGUUUCUUUCUUCCCUUGAUGGGGGCAGUGGGAGCCUUGCUGCUAUGGGCUUGCUAGUCUGUGGGGCACUUUGCAAGGGCAUCGUGGCCUAAUGGCUGCAUGGCGAGAUGGAGCAGAGGGAUGAGCCUAGGCUGAGCUGGGCUGGGAGAUAGAGGGGUGAAUGCAGAGACAGAUGGACAAACUGGGGGUGAGAGGUAGCUGAGUGGGCAGGCAGACAGACAGCCAAACAGGGGAACAAGGCCUCCUUAACUUGCCCUGCCCCUCAUUUCCUGACAGGUUGACACGGAGGAGCUCUGGCCUCUUUUGGUGGAGUGGGACCGGGAGAUGCAGGCCAAAGCAGAAGAGUUCUCCCUCUGGAUAAAUACUCUGAAGCAGAGGAAGAAAACCUCCUGAGAAGCCUGGAAGAGGAACCCAGACCCCAGGGCAGUCACAGCACAGGGAAGAGCUGUACCAAGACCAGGGUGUGCCAGGGUCUGAAGAAAACAAGAGUGGGAAACAUGAAGUGCAUUCAGCGAUGUCAGGCUAUGAGCACAAGGAUCAGAGUGAGGGGAGCCAGGACUCCUGGGUUCUUUUCCUGCUCCAGGGAAGCAUCCAGCAGGUUAGGACAAGGGAGGAGUUGAGGGGCCAAGAAUCCUGGGUUUCCUUCCCAGCUCUUGAGGCCCUGAGAUGUGACAGCUGAGUGAAAGGGAACUGACUGCAGUGUCCUCAGUAACUUCCCUGACCCUAUCUCCCCCUCCCUAAGGAGCCCCUAGUGUCUGAUCUGGGGUGGAGGGUUCCCCCCAGCCUGGCCUCCCCUUAAUGAGAGCUCUCCCCAUGCUCUGGCUCCCAGGAGGAGGCACAGAGGACACAGACAGGAGAAGGGGUUGGGUCAGAUCUCAAGCUGUGAGGGCAUGUUUGAAUGGGGAGAAGGGCAGGAGAAUGAGAUGAUGGGAGGGAAGGACCCAAGCCUUUUGGGGUGUCCUGGGGGGUGACCCCACUGAGAUGUGACUGUGCUUUCCAUUCCUAAAGCAGACACCUCUGUGGAGGUGAGGAGGAACAGGUGGGAGCAGCAAGGAUCUAUCCCUGAUAUAGGGCCUUCGUUUCCCUACCCCAGGGCCCUAGCAUCCUGUACAAGCAGCUGUCUCCUGGCUGGGCUCCCAUCACCUCGAGGUUCAAGGACCCUGUUCCCAGACAGCACCAAGGACCCAGUGGUCCAGUCUUCUGGACCAGGGCCAGUCCUGUUGGGACAAACAGCCCUGCUGUGCCAUGUGUCAAAGAUUUAUACUGGUCCUAGCCUCCUUCAUCCCACUCUGAGGCCCAUGUGCUUGGUGCAGUGGCUGAAAUCCACUCCCUUCCCUCUCCUGUACCCAAGCUAAGUGUGUCCUGACUCUGCCCCUUCUGUGGGUUCCAGCUGGACUGGGUCCAUCCAACGCUGCUGGCCUCCAACAGUGUAAACCAGGGGUGGGCAAUUAUUUGAGCUGGAGGGCCACUUCAUGAGUUUUGGUGACCUGCUGAGGGCUGGGGGGGCCGGGCAGGGAAAUGAUGAAUGAUCCUAUUUGGCAGUCUCUGGGAGCCUGAGGAAGGAGGGCUGUGGCCUGCACCACUUCGCUCUACUGCAGCCAGGGCUGGGUUGGGCAGUGUGCAGACUCCUCCGCCCCCCGCACCCAUCCCCUCCCCCCACCUUUCUUCCUGUUGGUGCUGCGUAGUCCUGGCACUGCAGCUGUGGGCAGCAGGGCCCACUCAGGAUGGAGUAGGGCACGAUACAGCACACUGGGCAGACAUCCUGCCUGCCCACCUGCCCUCCAAGAUUAGUGGCUGCCAGUGUGCUGCACCAGGAAAGUUGGGAGCAGCUGCCGUGAACCAAGGCCCCUCCACAGCCAGCAUGGACCCACUUCCUAGAGCUGCUGUCCUGGCUGCAGCAGAGCAGAGCUGCACAGGGCACAGGCCUUCCUUAUCAGGCUGUCCACAGUAGCUGACAGACCAGACAGGAUCAACUGGCAGGCCAGAUAUGGCCCCUGGACUGUAUUUUGCCCGCCCAUGGUAUAAAUAGAUUGGCCCUCUGCCCUCCUCCUCUGUGAUCCCCUUUUAUUGUGGACUGUGUCCAAGCUGGUAGGUGCAGCUCUGGAGACAUAAACCAACAGUGAAACCACAGCGAAAAAGCAAAACGUUGUGAAUUCCAUGUAAAAUCUGGUGGGAAAAGCCCCAAAUGUCCCCUCCCCAUCCCCCACCCUCCCCCCUUUCAUAAUAAAACAGCUGCUUCUAAAGUCUCAGGCAUUUUCUUUCAAGCCAAGGGAUUUAGGAGAGAAAUGGGAUCCAGUGCUGAGGAACGGGGCCUCCCAGUAUCCCUGGUCAGCCCCAGCCGCACCAACCUCAAGGGAAUGGCCAUCUCCUGCCAGGUCUAGCUCGGCUCUGGGUGACUACAUGGUCCCUCUGGGAAAGAGCUGCAUCCUGCACCUGAGUUCCAGCCCCUGAGAUCCCAUCUGGGGGCCAGUGGAUGUGAUGCCCAUACGUUUUGUUCUCUGUCCUUCCCUUCUCUCCCUGUGACCCUGGUCUGACUUGUGUGACCAGGGUUACACCUCUGCCUGUGAGGCUGCUGUAGCUCCAGGCUCAGGCCCUGGAGCUGGAGUCAGGAGGCUGACACUACUGCCAUCCUUGCAUGGCCAUGCUCAGAGCCAGACCUCGGGGCUCUCCCCUAGAUUUUCCUCAGCCCUUGGCAACCCUCCCAGCACAGAGGUGAAAGGGAAAGAGUUAGAGAUGGUGCUUGUGGAGAGGGGCUGU